UACGGGGGGAGCAAGCGUUGUUCGGAUUUACUGGGCGUAAAGGGCGCGUAGGCGGCGCAACAAGUCACUUGUGAAAUCUCCGGGCUUAACCCGGAGCGGCCAAGUGAUACUGUCGUGCUAGAGUGCGGAAGGGGCUACUGGAAUUCUCGGUGUAGCGGUGAAAUGCGUAGAUAUCGAGAGGAACACCUGCGGCGAAGGCGGCGCACUGGACCACAACUGACGCUGAGGCGCGAAAGCUAGGGGAGCAAACAGG
rnacentral:rRNA from 1 species